rnacentral:rRNA from 1 species
ACGAACGCUGGCGGCGUGCUUAACACAUGCAAGUCGAGCGGAAAGGCCCUUCGGGGUACUCGAGCGGCGAACGGGUGAGUAACACGUGAGUAACCUGCCCUGGACUUUGGGAUAACCCUCGGAAACGGGGGCUAAUACCGGAUACGACCUGCCACUGCAUGGUGGUUGGUGGAAAGUUUUUCGGUCUGGGAUGGGCUCGCGGCCUAUCAGCUUGUUGGUGGGGUGAUGGCCUACCAAGGCGACGACGGGUAGCCGGCCUGAGAGGGCGACCGGCCACACUGGGACUGAGACACGGCCCAGACUCCUACGGGAGGCAGCAGUGGGGAAUAUUGCACAAUGGGCGGAAGCCUGAUGCAGCGACGCCGCGUGAGGGAUGACGGCUUUCGGGUUGUAAACCUCUUUCAGCAGGGACGAAGCGCAAGUGACGGUACCUGCAGAAGAAGCGCCGGCCAACUACGU